GGGUGCAAGCGUUAAUCGGAAUUACUGGGCGUAAAGGGUGCGUAGGCGGUUGGUUAAGUCUGUCGUGAAAUCCCCGGGCUCAACCUGGGAAUGGCGAUGGAUACUGGCCAGCUAGAGUGUGUCAGAGGAUGGUGGAAUUUCCGGUGUAGCGGUGAAAUGCGUAGAGAUCGGAAGGAACAUCAGUGGCGAAGGCGGCCAUCUGGGACAACACUGACGCUGAAGCACGAAAGCGUGGGGAGCAAACAGGAUUAGAUACCCUGGUAGUCCACGCCCUAAACGAUGCGAACUGGAUGUUGGUCUCAACUCGGAGAUCAGUGUCGAAGCUAACGCGUUAAGUUCGCCGCCUGGGGAGUACGGUCGCAAGACUGAAACUCAAAGGAAUUGACGG
rnacentral:rRNA from 1 species